GUGCUUGCUUCAGCAGCACAUUUGCUAAAAUUGGAAUGAUACAGAGAAGAUUAGCAUGGCCCCUGGGCAAGGAUGACACAAAAUUUGUGAAGCUAAAAUGUAUGUA